GUUCCGUAGGUGAACCUGCGGAAGGAUCAUUACAGUAGUCACCCAGGUUGCCGCAAGGCCUCCUGGGUAACCUACCACCCUUUGUUUAUUAUACUUUGUUGCUUUGGCAAGCCUGCCCUCGGGCUGCUGGCUCCGGCCGGCGAGCGCUUGCCAGAGGACCUAAACUCUGUUUGUCUAUACUGUCUGAGUACUAUAUAAUAGUUAAAACUUUCAACAACGGAUCUCUUGGUUCUG
rnacentral:misc_RNA from 1 species